AUGUGGAGAGAAGGAGCAGCAGCAGUUUUGGGCGUGGGGAAGAGAAGAGAAGAAGCGAGGGAAGGAGAAGAGCAGCAGGAGGGGCGUGGGAGAAGAAGCAGCAGGGAGGAGAGAGUCGCGCAGGCAGCCAGACGCCCGUCUGAUGGGUCGCGCAAUGUAGCGCUUGGUGCUGAUGGCGGCGGUGACUGGAGAUGGUGGACGCUGGUGAUGGCGGGCGUUGGUGGAUGGAGGCUGCUGGCGCUGAUGGAUGGAUGGGUCGCGGAGUGGUGGAUGGAGAUGGAUGAUGAGGCGGGAGGCGCACCACCACGCCGGCCUGGCCGUGCCGGCGGCCGGAGGUGA
rnacentral:rRNA from 1 species